rnacentral:rRNA from 1 species
CCUACGGGUGGCAGCAGUGAGGAAUAUUGGUCAAUGGGCGGGAGCCUGAACCAGCCAAGUCGCGUGAGGGAAGAAGGUACUGAGUAUUGUAAACCUCUUUUGCCAGGGGACAAAGGCGGCCACGGGUGGCCGGAAGAGGGUACCUGGAGAAAAAGCAUCGGCUAACUCCGUGCCAGCAGCCGCGGUAAAACGGAGGAUGCGAGCGUUAUCCGGUUUUAUUGGGUUUAAAGGGUGCGCAGGCGGCGUGUAAAGUCAGCGGUAAAAUGGCGGGGCUCAACCCCGGCCAGCCGUUGAAACUGGCAUUCUUGAGUUGGAGAGAAGUAUGCGGAAUGCGUGGUGUAGCGGUGAAAUGCAUAGAUAUCACGCAGAACCCCGAUUGCGAAGGCAGCAUACCGGCUCCACACUGACGCUGAGGCACGAAAGCGUGGGUAUCGAACAGGAUUAGAUACCCUGGUAGUC